GAAGAUCGGCCUGUACAGUAUCAGUUAGUUGGUGAGGUAAUGGCUCACCAAGACAAUGACGCUUAACUGGUUUGAGAGGAUGAUCAGUCACACUGGAACUGAGACACGGUCCAGACUCCUACGGGAGGCAGCAGUGGGGAAUAUUGCACAGUGGGGGAAAACCCUGAUGCAGCAACGCCGCGUGGAGGAUGACACAUUUCGGUGCGUAAACUCCUUUUAUAUAGGAAGAUAAUGACGGUACUAUAUGAAUAAGCGCCGGCUAACUCCGUGCCAGCAGCCGCGGUAAUACGGAGGGCGCAAGCGUUACUCGGAAUCACUGGGCGUAAAGAGCGUGUAGGCGGAUAAAUAAGUCAGAAGUGAAAUCCAAUAGCUCAACUAUUGAACUGCUUUUGAAACUGUUUAUCUAGAGUAUGGGAGAGGUAGAUGGAAUUUCUGGUGUAGGGGUAAAAUCCGUAGAGAUCAGAAGGAAUACCGAUUGCGAAGGCGAUCUACUGGAACAUAACUGACGCUGAGACGCGAAAGCGUGGGGAGCAAACAGGAUUAGAUACCCUGGUAGUCCACGCCCUAAACGAU
rnacentral:rRNA from 1 species